AAAAAUCACUCUAUUGGGCAUGACUCCAGUCUGGCACAGUGAAACAACGAGAAGUGUAGGAUAAGAGGGAGGCCACCUGUGCCACUCCCUCACCUCCCCUGUACACGUUGGGGAAGCAGGGCUGGGUCCAGUAUAUCUGUCAAAAACAUAACACAGGUAUCCUUAGCUGAGUAAAGACAGCAAACUCCAGUGAAGCAAAAGGGGGAAAAAAAGAAAAAAAAUCUACAUUUUCAGUAGGAAUACAGACCCAGAAAGUGGGGUCUCUGAAUCCUUCUGAUCUUUUUCAGUUUUGAGGAGAUGUUGGAAAAGUUACCAUACUAACUUUGGGCAACCAAACCCUCAGAAAUCACACUGUUUGGUCCCUGAUAUCACUUCUUCCUAUCUUCGUGAAGUAGAAGUCACCUAUCACUGUAUUGUUCACUCACUAAGAGAACUAGGUUUAUUGAGAUCUUCAC
rnacentral:ncRNA from 1 species